rnacentral:rRNA from 1 species
GACGAACGCUGGCGGCGUGCUUAACACAUGCAAGUCGAACGAUGAAGCCUAGCUUGCUAGGUGGAUUAGUGGCGAACGGGUGAGUAAUACGUGAGUAACCUACCUUUAACUCUGGGAUAAGCCUGGGAAACUGGGUCUAAUACCGGAUACGACCAAUCUCCGCAUGGGGUGUUGGUGGAAAGCGUUAUGUAGUGGUUAUAGAUGGGCUCACGGCCUAUCAGCUUGUUGGUGAGGUAACGGCUCACCAAGGCGACGACGGGUAGCCGGCCUGAGAGGGUGACCGGCCACACUGGGACUGAGACACGGCCCAGACUCCUACGGGAGGCAGCAGUGGGGAAUAUUGCACAAUGGGCGCAAGCCUGAUGCAGCGACGCCGCGUGAGGGAUGACGGCCUUCGGGUUGUAAACCUCUGUUAGCAGGGAAGAAGAGAGAUUGACGGUACCUGCAGAGAAAGCGCCGGCUAACUACGUGCCAGCAGCCGCGGUAAUACGUAGGGCGCGAGCGUUGUCCGGAAUUAUUGGGCGUAAAGAGCUUGUAGGCGGUUUGUCGCGUCUGCUGUGAAGGCCGGGGCUUAACCCCGUGUAUUGCAGUGGGUACGGGCAGACUAGAGUGCAGUAGGGGAGACUGGAAUUCCUGGUGUAGCGGUGGAAUGCGCAGAUAUCAGGAGGAACACCGAUGGCGAAGGCAGGUCUCUGGGCUGUAACUGACGCUGAGAAGCGAAAGCAUGGGGAGCGAACAGGAUUAGAUACCCUGGUAGUCCAUGCCGUAAACGUUGGGCACUAGGUGUGGGGGACAUUCCACGUUUUCCGCGCCGUAGCUAACGCAUUAAGUGCCCCGCCUGGGGAGUACGGCCGCAAGGCUAAAACUCAAAGAAAUUGACGGGGGCCCGCACAAGCGGCGGAGCAUGCGGAUUAAUUCGAUGCAACGCGAAGAACCUUACCAAGGCUUGACAUAUACUGGACCGCAUCAGAGAUGGUGUUUCCCUUCGGGGCUGGUAUACAGAUGGUGCAUGGUUGUCGUCAGCUCGUGUCGUGAGAUGUUGGGUUAAGUCCCGCAACGAGCGCAACCCUCGUUCUAUGUUGCCAGCACGUUAUGGUGGGGACUCAUAGGAGACUGCCGGGGUCAACUCGGAGGAGGGUGGGGAUGACGUCAAAUCAUCAUGCCCCUUAUGUCUUGGGCUUCACGCAUGCUACAAUGGCCGGUACAGAGGGUUGCGAUACUGUGAGGUGGAGCUAAUCCCUAAAAGCCGGUCUCAGUUCGGAUUGGGGUCUGCAACUCGACCCCAUGAAGUCGGAGUCGCUAGUAAUCGCAGAUCAGCAACGCUGCGGUGAAUACGUUCCCGGGCCU